ACCAGGGUCGAUGAUGCUGAGGCAGCACACCCGGUAGUACUUGCCGCAGGCAGUUCCAAGAUCAACAUUGUUUCCAUGGAAAUGGUGAACGCUAACUUUUCCCAACAUGGCGUAAUACUCAAUCUCAGACUUCCUGAGUGGAGGGCAGUUGUUUGCAAGGAUAAUCAGCUUCCCUAAACAUAAAAAAGAUGUGAUUGAUGACGGUCUUGUAGCCGAGCGUGUACUUGCCGCUCUUCAUCACCAGCUGCAGCUUGUUGUUGAUGUUGUCCGUGCUCUUCUU
rnacentral:sRNA from 1 species